AGUGAACGCUGGCGGUAGGCCUAACACAUGCAAGUCGAACGGCAGCACAGUAAGAGCUUGCUCUUACGGGUGGCGAGUGGCGGACGGGUGAGGAAUACAUCGGAAUCUACUUUUUCGUGGGGGAUAACGUAGGGAAACUUACGCUAAUACCGCAUACGACCUACGGGUGAAAGCAGGGGAUCUUCGGACCUUGCGCGAUUGAAUGAGCCGAUGUCGGAUUAGCUAGUUGGCGGGGUAAAGGCCCACCAAGGCGACGAUCCGUAGCUGGUCUGAGAGGAUGAUCAGCCACACUGGAGCUGAGACACGGUCCAGACUCCUACGGGAGGCAGCAGUGGGGAAUAUUGGACAAUGGGCGCAAGCCUGAUCCAGCCAUACCGCGUGGGUGAAGAAGGCCUUCGGGUUGUAAAGCCCUUUUGUUGGGAAAGAAAAGCAGCAGGCUAAUACCCCGCUGUUCUGACGGUACCCAAAGAAUAAGCACCGGCUAACUUCGUG
rnacentral:rRNA from 1 species